CUACUUACUUAUAUUUAUUGACUGCUUACUGUGUCCCAGAAGCUACGAAAAUGUUUUAAAUAAAGUAAUUUAUUUAAUCUACACAAAAGUCCUUUGGUGUUAAGGAAAAUGGCCCACCAAGAAGAUAGGCAACUUCUCCAUAGUCAAAAAGCUAAUCCCUCAUUGAAGCCCAAAACUCAUAGCUUUAUUCUCUGUGUCAAUCAAUCCUGGAAGAGUAAGCCUGACAAGAAGGGUGGGAAUGGAGUGGCUUAAGGGUUCAAAUGUAUACCCUCCUCACACUUGGAAGGCUGGAUAUGACAGAGAAGGCAGCCAUCAUGUGACUGAUGGAAGGCAAGAUGAGACCCAUUUUUCUCAACCCAACACAAACAGCAAUUAUUUCUAGAACCUAUGAGGGAUUUUGUUGGAUGAUGAAUAGAAACUCCUGCAGGAAUCAAUGUUGGUACUGUGUCCAGGGGAUCUAUUAAAAAUGAAUACCUCUGGAAUUCUCUAUUCUCAGUAAAUACUCAGUCCUGUGAAGAGAGCACAGAAGUCAUAAAAUGUUGAACCAUGCUCCCCAAGUCUGAAAUACAAUUGUGAGAAAAGAUGUACACCUUGUGACACGGCAAGAAGGCUGCAAAACUUUUGGACCCAAGGCAGCUUAUGGAGUUGGGACAUGACCAUCUCAAGGAAUGUGGAUGUGGUUACAGCUGCUGUUUAAGAAAUGACUAAGAAAAAAAAAAAAGAAAAGAAAAAAGAAAUGAAGAUGAAAGGCCUUUGUCAUCACAAUGGGAAUAUGUCUUAGUUAGCUUGUUGGAGGGUGAGAUGUGGAUAAGAGCAGUCACCUCUGUAAACAAUCAACAGACUCCAGACAUGUAAGUGUAGCCAAGUUCAGCAGAGCCGUCUUGCCAGCUCCCAGUUGACCCUGCACAUGUGACCAAUACACUCAAAAAGAUGAAUAAUCCGAUAAAGGAAAAAUGUAGUGCAUGGAACCUGAAUAUAAGGUAUGGACAAAACGAGAUCAUUCAUCUCACACAGUAAUUACCCUUAAAGCAAGAGCUCCACUAAGGGUAUUCCCUUUGCAGCAGAAGGGUCAUUUUAUCUUAAGGUCAUGCCUACCUAAAUUUUCCCAUUCCCUGAUGUUAACAUCAAUAACCCAUGCUGGGAUUAACACACUGUACCUUCCUAAAAUAACCUUCUAUUACAAGGUUGGAUAGUUUUCAAAACUGCCUUCAAUAUCAAUCUUAUGUAAUGAUGAAAACACAAGGUUAGAAAGUUGAGGUUUAAUAUGAAUCUCUGAGAUUCUUCUUCAUAAUAUCAUGGGAUGAUAAUGACUCAAAGUAAUGGGAGAAUCUAUAGCUUGCUAUUGAUUUCAUCAAACUACAGAUGAAAUAUAAAAUUCACAAAUUAGGCAAACUUGUCAUGGACAAAUAGCUUAGUACUCAGCUUAAUUACCGUGCUGGGGGUAGAAAGCUUGUCGCAAAUACAGUAUUGCUUCAAAUUUUGUUUGACAGUGUUGUAAAAAAGGGUUUACUUCAUCUUAUCUGCAUGAUUUUUAUCCCUAUUUGGGGAAAAGUAUACUACCAGUUAUUCCUCAGGUAUAAAAGUAAAUGUUACAUAAAGCAUGCUAUGAUAGGAAUAGAGUACAGUGCAAAGAGAAUUACAUAUGAGGAAACACAUUUGGGUUCAAAUCCUGGUAAGACUUUAGAAAAAGUAAUUAUUCGAGUAAUCAUAACCCAUUUUUAAAGGGUUAUAAAGAUAAGUCUCUCACAGUAUUGAUGUGAGGACUUAGUUAUAUUACCUACAUAAAUCACCAAGCAGGUAAUUGGUGCUCAAAUACCUUAUUCUUUUUCAGUCUCAUGAGUAACACCCUGCGGAUUGUUUGAAAGAGUGUGUGUAUGAUUAUUUAAAAGCAUAACAAUUUAGAAUUUAAGACUAUUCUUUGAAAUGCAGGGGCAGCCUGGGUGGCUCAGUCGGUUAAGCUUCUGCCUUCAGCUCAGGUCAUGAUCCCAGUGUCCUGGGAGCGAGCCCCAUGUCAUCGAGCUCCCUGCUCAGCAGGGAGCCUGCUUCUCCCUCUCCUGUCCCUCCCCCUACCCAUGUUUUCUCUCUCUCUCUCUCUCAAAUGAAUAAAUAAAAGAUCUUUAAAAAAAUAAGAAAUGCAGGGACAGUUUAAAAACUGAAGUGAAAUGUGAUUAGUACUCUCAUAUAACAUCAGUUCAAGUAAGAGAGAGAAAGCAUCAUUUUCAAAUGAUGUUUGUAUAGAAAAAUAUAUACCGUGAUCCGAUAAUGAAUACAAAAGCAGGAAUAUAUUAUAUAAAUGUAUUGUUUUAUAUCACAUUCUGUAUAAUACAUAAAUUAUAUAAAACAUACAAUACUAUUCUAACUAUAUUAUAUACUAAAUAUAAUAUUCAAGAAUAUAUAUUAUUGACUAAUAUAUAAUUCUGUUAUAUAAUUUAUAUUUGUAUUAUCACAAGUUAAUGUCAUGCUGUGCCUUGUAUUACACAGUUACAAUAUAUUGUAUGUGUAUAUAUAUUUGUAUGUGUUUAUGUAAAAUAACCACUUAUUGUAGUUAUUGCUCUUAUUUUCCCCAAUUAAAGAAGGAUCUUUUAUUGAGAAAGCAUAUUAAUAAAUUUUCAAUUUCGUUUUAUUAGUAGUUGCCAUGUGUUAGGAAAAAUAGGUUGAAGAUUUCUUAGAAUUAAAAGAGUAUCAGAACAGAAUUGUGAAAAUUAAAAUAUAACCCAGUGAUAUAUACUAAUAGAAAAGUAUUUUCAUAAUUUGAAAACAAGAGUUGUACUUUAUAUGGUUCUACUUUCUCUCACUUAUUUAAAUUUUUGUCUCUGAUUCCAAAUUUUUUAUGCGAUUUUAAACAGGAAUGGUAGAAUAGAAUCCAAUCUGCCUGUUGAUCAAAAAAUUCUCCCUAGUUAAUUUGAAGAUUUCUCCCAUUUGUGUAUCAGAAGUAAUAACUCUGUGAGCAUCCUGUCUGUUUGAAUCAUUUUCAUAUUACCAAGUACUCUCUGUGAUUACAGAACAUCUAGAUAAAUUUAGUUUUAUGAACACAGACUUUGUGUUCCUAAAACAGUAUGUAGUGAUAAAGUACUCAUACUUUUACUUUAUUCUUAAUUUACUGAGCUAUUAAAUCCCACUUUUUGACAUUGUAGUGUACAAACUUUAUUUUAUUAUAACUUUUGAAUACAAUAAAAAAGCUUUCUUUUGCUUCUUUAGCUUGUACUGCAGGCUUUCAGAAUGGCUCUGUGACUCUAGAACGGGUCAAAUAUUAGCUUUCCAUACAAAAAGAAGACACUAAUAUGUAUCUAAAAAUAAUGAAUAAAAACAAAUGAAAAGCCAAAUAGUUUUUCCAAACUACUGUAAUUAUUAGCUCACAAAAUUUCUCCCAUGCAUCUCUGCAAACUCACUGUACAGAGAAGGGAGCCAAGUGAGGUGGGAGAAGCACAGGCUAAGACAAAUGGACAAAUGACACUAAUGAGAUGUGUGAUUCUGAGCAAGUUAUAUUACCUCUCUAAGCCUUGGGGUAUAUUAGUUUGUUUCUGUGUUCUGUUUUUCUGCAAAACUGAGAUAGAGCCUACCUGGAAUAUUUUAAAGAGAUACAUAUUUAAUAUGUGCAAAAUAUAUAGUAUAGAGCCAGGCCUAUAUUCUGAACUCAUAUAUUACUGUAUAUCCUCAUCACUUUGCAGUAGCCUUCCAUCUGGUCUCCUUGCCUCUAGUCCUUCUGAAGAAUCCAUUUUUUGCUGAAACUCCUUACUCUAUAGGGGAUUAAUAAACUUAUACCAACCAGCCACAAUCUUUCUAACUUUAUCUUUAAACACUUUUUCCCCUCACAACAAACUUUACAUUGAAGUACAUGGGCUUUGCUCACUUUUCUCUCAUUCAAGUAGGCACUCAUGCCCCAUGCAAUUCAGAUACAAAUAUUUAAGAAGUCCCCAAAAGGAACUUAAUGAAAAUAAACUGUAUGUACUAGUACUAUGCUAGACAAUGAGAAAUGAUAUAGAUACAUCAGAAACAAAUUCUGUUUUCAGAGACAGGCAGCUUUCUGAUUCUAGAAGAUGGAUCUUUUUUAACUUAAUUUUGUUUUUAACUUGGAUUAUCCAGGGCUAAAAAACCAAGUAUAGUGGAACAUUUUCCAAAUGUUAGUAUUAUUCUAAUUAUCCACGCCUCCGUUUUAUUCAUCUUAAUAAUAUUAAAAGAAUGAAGGGUUAAGCUUAAUUGUCCCCUUAGUCUUUAAGCCAAAAAGCACACAGAGUUUAACAUUUACUUCACAGCCACAACACUUGUAAAGCAGUAGCAAUGACAAACUUUCAGUGCAUGAUAAUGUAAACAAUAUAAGCAUGAAGCUGUAUGGGUUCAUAAAAACACUGUUAAGUGAGAUUAAAUUUGUUCUUUAUUAAGUAAUUUGUUCCAUGUAGUCCAAAACAAUAGAAACAUAAAGAGAAAAAUUAAAAAUUCACAGCAUUCUCAGCCCUUAGAUACACAUAAAAUGAGAACACUACAAAGGGAGAUAUUAUUUGUAAACAUGUACUGUUUUUAAAUGAUUCCCAAAAAUUCCCAUGUUAUGAUAACUUUUUUGUGCCGUCCAUGGCAGAGAGAAGGAAGGCAGAGUGCAGAGGAAGCUUAUAUGUAUUUUGCAUGUUGACAAUAAAUAAAUUGAAAGGCCAGACUCAUUCAUUAGAAAAUAAAUUACAGAGAGAGGUUAGAAAUUGGAUUCUUAACUCCUGCCAGAAAUAUUGUAAAUUGUAUCCAGAUUGUUCCAAAUUAGUUAGAAGGUUUGUUGGAAAUACUAUAUUGUCUUUCCAUAUGCUGAGACCACCCUCUUAGCAGCUUAACAGAAAAGGAUACAGCAUAGAAAUUUCUGCCUACUUCCUUAUCCUCCAGUGCUCUGAAAUCAGCUGAAAGAUUGAUAUGCUUUCUCUGCUAAUGGAAUUCUUUUCUAUUCCUUAUUUGCUCCUGGACCAUGUAAAACCAUUUCAUAGUACCUUGGACAUUCCCAAGUGCAGAUUUAGCUUUUAUCACCUGUGGUCUCCAAAAUUCUUUUAACUAGACAGGCAGCCUAAAGUGUACAAGAGAAUCAGGCCUCUCUCCCAAGGAAGUUUGCAAUCUCUAAGAAUUGCAAAGGCAAACCUUACAAAGAAAUUAAAAGUCAGAAGGGUAAUAGCUCACCUAAACUAACUACCCAACAAAACCAGCAACUUUAUUUACAGAUUUCAGGAAGGUGAUAAACCUACGAGUUAGUUAUUAUAAUUUUACAGAGAAGACAACUUCAGUUCUUCAGGUCAUUGUUACCUAUCUUCAGUUACUAGAUGAUGCCAGUUUAUGCUGAGCAGUAAUUACCCUUCCAGUAACUUCAACUCUUUGAGAGUGUCUUGUACAUCAAAGGAUUAUUUUCUUCCUCUAUAUUAUAUUCUCAAGUGCAUAUAUUUAUACAAACAAAAGCAUGUGGAUUAACAUCCUAAAUGUUCAGUGUCAAGGAGUAAUUUGAAAUCAAAACUAUGUUCGUUUUUAGGGAGCCUCUUAGAGUAUUCUGAACAAAAUUUAUAUUUUGCUCAGUGGUUGUAGGUCAUCACCAUUAUUAAAAGAAAUUACUGUAUUGUGUUUUCAUAUGUUGAUGUCUUCAGGGUUUAUGCAAGUUGAUAGAAAAAUUUGUUCGUUACUACGUGUUCUUUUGGGGCUUUGUGUAUUUUUUUCUGUAGAUUUUCCCCUUUUGUUUCUUAGUAUCAGAUUGUGUAAUCUUGAUCCUGCCACUGUGCCUCCCUCUAGCUGAAAGUUUGUGCUUCUAAUCUUAUGUGACUUUGGAAAUUAGAUAGCCAGAAUCCUUACAAAGGUAUCUAAAAGUGCCUCUCAGUGAGACUUUCUUAUAAAUAAAAUAUAUAAACUUAAAUGCAUGGUCCAGUGGACAGACUCUGGUCCCUUCUCCAAGGUAUCCAAGCCUUUGUGUAUUCCCUUUCUCCUGAGUGUGAGCACAACCCCUGACUUGCUUCUAAACAAUAGAAUAUGGCAAAGUAGAGAGGAUGCCACUCCUUUGAUUAGGUUACAUUAAUGGUACUGUGAAGGGAUUUUGUAGAUAAUAAUUAAUGGUAAUUUGGUUGAUUUUGAGCUAUCAAAGGGGAGAUUAUCCUGGGUGGGCCUGACUUAAUCAGGUGAAUCAGUUUUAAGAGGAACUGGACCCUCCCUGAAGUUAGAGACUCUCUCUCCAGUGCUGCCUUUGAAGAUGCACACUGCCAUAUUGUGAGAGGGCCUGUGGUGAGGACCACGUGGCAAGAAACUGCAGGUAGCCUCUAUGAUGGAAGAGAAGCUGACAGCCAUCAAAACUGCUGAAGCUGUCAGUCUCACAGCUGUGAAAAAAAAAUGAAUUUUUCCAACAACUUAAAGGACCUUAGGAUCAGAUCUUCGCUCAGUCAACCUUGUCAUAAUCCAAAGUCCGGCCAACACCUCGAGUGCUGCCUUGUGUGACCCAGAUCAGAGGACACAGCUAAACCAUGCCCUGAGUCCUGCCCCACUGAAACUGUGACAUAGUAAAUGGGUAUUGGUUUAAGUUGCUGAGUUUGUGGUAAGGCAUUCAGCAUAAAUAACUAAUACGUAUAUGUUACAUUCCAUUCAUUUUCUAUGUACAGAGAAGCUUUGGGUCCUUUUCUUAUCCUUUCCUAGGUUCAAGUUGGUUAACUUUAUCUUCACUGAUUAAAGUAUUAACCAAAAUAUUUAAUAUACAUAUGUAUGUUAUACAGUUGAAUGUAUGCAUGUCAAGCACCUUUUUCAACUAACAUAUAUGCCAUAAAAACAUAAGGUUAUUCUGAAUGUGCCAUAAUUGCUUAAGAGGAUAUAUACCGAUGGAGUGAAAACAAAGAGGCUCGGGGCG